ensembl:ncRNA sncRNA:838 small non-coding RNA 838
AACGCCUUAUAUAAGAGGAGUCCGGGGAGCCUGUCACAGGGUCUUCCCAGGGCGACCAUGAACCGAGAAAUGA